UCUUCUACUAAAAAGAGGGUCACUGGUUCGUCAUCCCACCCUUCGUACGUCGCCCCCUCGCUUCGUUCGUCGCCCGGCGACCGCGUCGCCCAGCUGCGUCGCUCCCCCAAUUCCGUCUCGCCCCCGCCCCAAAAUCCCGCCUCGCCCCCACCCCAAAACACCGCCGCCGUCCCGAAUCCCAGUCGCGCCGUCGCCGCACGAACCCGGAGCCUAACCGCGUUGCUCCCCCAAACCCGGCUCGCCUCCACCCCUAAUCACCGUCGCCGUCCCGAUCCAUGGCGCCAGACCCAAUCCACGGUGCCGUCGCAGCUCCCAGACCCAAUCCACGGUGCCGUCGCCGCUGCGACGCUCCCCCGACCAAAAUCUCCGACGCUCCCAGCCCCAAUCCACGGCGCCGCUGUGACGCUGCGCGCGCCGCGACCCCGCCGCACGGACCCGGAGCCGCACCUCCACCGAUCCUGCCAUCCGUCCUCGCCGCCGCGGCCAGGUGUUUGCAUCGAAAAGCUUGGAGGCCACUGGAUGGUUUCAGGGGCUGUUGGGCUGUUGCCACUUUGUAAUCAAGAACGAGGUAUGUAGACGGGCUCAGCUCAGGCAGCUGCGUUAAAGAAAGCGAUGGCGAACCUGGCUGUUGCUGCUCUUGCCUGGCUUCCUAUUGGUGUUCGACUUUGGUGAUCGAUUUCCUGCUGUGCUGACAUCUCGACCGGCAGUGAGCUAAACUAGCUAGAGGCACAUAUGCAUCUGUCUAAUUCCCAGCAAACAAGCUUGCACAUGGGCUAUAUCUAGAAAAAAGUAUUGAGACAUCAUAUUUUCAGAAUUUAUGGUGUGCUGAUCCUUGGUGCUAUAUCUUCACCUAAUCACCUUGCUCCUGCCAUGAUCUCUCUCUAUCUAACACAUCCAAUCUAUCAGGCUAAGCUUGGCCGAAAAAGAGCUUAUCUUCUCAAUUGUCAAUCAGGUGAGUAGUAGCUAAUGCUUCAUGUUGUAUGACAGUGAUACUUAACUUUGCUUCAUGUUGUAUGACAGUGAUACUUAACUUUGCUUCAACUAAUUAAGCUAUAGGCAUUAAAUGGUCAUUAUGCUAAAAGUAAUUUCCUUUAUGACUGCGCAUACAUGGAUGUGUUUAUGUGUUUAUAUCAGAGUUCAGACAAACAUUAUGGACUAUUAAAUUGCUUCUGAUAGGUAGUAUUACGAACAAUAGUUAGGUGUUGUCUAGGAUAGUUUGUUGUGUUAGGCAAAGAAUUCAAUGGAAGAUAGAAGGAAAUUGAAAUCUUAUGCAGACGAGUCUUCUACAAAAUGAAUAGGGAUGUGUCCAGCAGCACUGAAACCGGGCCAGCAAGAAAGGUUGGUCAUAUACUGUAUUCAACGUGGGUGUUCUUUUUCUUUAUUUAUUUCCGCCCAUGAAUUGCUGGUAACGCAAUUAGAGGUGGAUUUUCAAAGAUGGGUUGGAACAUGGAAACCCUGGGCUGGGAGAGGCAUGGAAAGGGCCGACAAUAUUGUGAGUUGUUAGCAAGGUCAACUGCACUCCCCUGGUUCCUCCUUCCUUGAUCCAUCCGAUAUUGGGUUGAUUGCAUCUUUCCUUGGAAAGAAUGUGAUGCCUUAUUUGCUCUCACAGAUCUAUUGUUUCAAUUGGUUCUCAUUACUAGGUCGGCUUAAUGUAAAAUAUUCUAUUUAGCUCACUUGGUCAUAUGUUUCUUAAUUUCUGGUGCAAACUUCAUGUUGUUUUACACACAUAUUAAUGAAUGCAUCUUUUCAGUCAAUUUUGUUGACUGUCAUUGGAAUGUCCUAAUAAAACUACCACUCAUAUUCUUUCAUGCAGAUGGCAUCUUCGAAACACGAUGAGUGUCUCCAUUCAAAGACCUAUUUGUCUUACUGACUUUAGCUUCUUGUCUCUACAUGCCUAUUGUAUUAUCUUCCUUACACAAAGAGAACAUGAAGGCACUAUGCUAUCAUUAAUCCUCACAAAAAGGCCAAUUAUGUUUUUGACAUAAUACCAGGUAAUGGAUUGUUUGCUAAGGUUAUUACUACCUCACCCAAUACCUUUACACGUACAUGGUGAGGUCAUCACUUGUCAGGCUCACAGGGUGGGUUCAUGUAAAAUUCGAGGGUUUUACCAUUUCUGUGGUCUAAUUGUUGGGUGUGUUUUUCUAUUUUUCUUAGGAGCUGAUUGAAGUGGCACGGUAAGUGAUGGAUGAGUUGGACUCCAGAACUAUCCAAUUUCAAUUGAUGAUUUGGGUAAGUUUGGUUGUGUAAUUUCUUUUCAACAGUCAAUUUAAACUUGGUUGUGUGACUUCUAUUCAAGCGUCACUUAAUUUUUUAGUGUGAACUGAAGUACACUGUAAAUACUCUCUUUUUGCAGAUGUUAUCAUGUACUAACCGUGUGACACUUGCUUUUACUGUAGCUAGGAACUGAGUGCAAGUAUAUAGUUUUUAUUUUUGCUUCUAAACUUGUGUUUGUUCCCUGCAUCUUCUUGAUAUAAAUGGGGUCUGGAAACCUUCAUAUUGGAAUUGUAGCAGGGGUGGUUGGAGCUAAUUAUUUUCUUGGGCUCUUUCUUGUACAAAAACCUGAUGAAAUGAUAAGACUGCGGUGCUAUAUAAAUUUAGUUUAUGAAUAGAAGUUGCUGAAGCGCCAAAUUUGUUCAACCAAGAUGGGAUUUCAAGGUGUAUUUUACUUGAGGCACAUAUUAUGUUCGUCUUUUGACUUUGUUGACUCCAGUUUCACAGGAUGAAACAAUGAAACAAGCAAGGAUUUACAUCUUCGAAGAAGGAAACCAUCAUAUGGCUGAACAAAUUGCAAUGGUACACCCUGUCCUUUUACUUCCCAAUUAUGGCUCGAUGGUGCCUAGCCAUAGUAAAAGAUGUGUCUUGGCUUCUUGGUUCUGGCUCACCAAUGCAGAUCACAUCAUCAUAAGGAAGCAGCCAAGUUUCUUAAUUAUUUAUUUCUAUUAUAGAUGUCUUAAGUAGUUUCCACGUGGCCCUAAUAAGUAAUCCACUUUGUUGAGAAGAUUUUGAACAGCGACAGUAUAAAAAGGAGCUGCAAAUAAAUGAAGAUGUGAUUGUUUCCUUGGGCUGUUUAUGCCUGAUAUAUAUUCACAUUAAAAUGAUUUUUAGAAGCCAUAGAGAUGCUAUGUAUAAUAGGCUUUAUCAGUUCAGCUCUUC